UAGCCUUAAAAUACUAAUUUGUUUGUUUGAAUUGGCUCAGUUGUAUGUGUGGUGUCAUGAUUUUUGGUAAUAAAAAAUUAUCGUUGCCUCCAUGAAUUAUUUAAUAUUCAUGAUAAUUACCUAAUAGCCAUCAUAUCCAAGAAAUGAGUGGAGUUGUAGUCUUUGGUGUCAUAGUUUCACGAAUUACCAGAAUAUUGAUGUUCCUGUUUCAUUGAAUUGGUCUCUUGUAGGAGAGACAUGAAAUCCCCAUUGCUCCAGCUUCUCUGUUUCUAUAAAUACUAACUUCGAAUUUUUGUUCUCAAGUGAAGGUCUUCGAAGAAGUUCCUGCUUAAAUAGUCUCAGUUGCCAUUGUGUUGCCAGAGUUCGUAGCCAGCCUGCGUCAUGGUUCUGCCCACUGCAAUGAAUGCUACUUAAGGAAAUGGAACUAGCCAGCCAUGAUAUCUUAGUGGGCAAUGAUACAAAAGAGAAGCGUUUCUUGUAUGGUAUUGUUGCAAAUGAUCGAACUAGAAUAGAUGUUGACAAGU